rnacentral:rRNA from 1 species
AGCAGCCGCGGUAAUUCCAGCUCCAAUAGCGUAUAUUAAAGUUGUUGCAGUUAAAAAGCUCGUAGUUGAAUUUCGGGAUUGACGUGAUGGUCAUGCUUUAAGGGGUAUGAACUGUUGCAGUUGAUUUCUCACCUUCUGGAAAAACUUGAUGUCCUUUAUUGGGUGUCUUGCGGAUCCAGGACCUUUACCUUGAAAAAUUAGAGUGUUUAAAGCAGGCAUUUUUGCUCGAAUACAUUAGCAUGGAAUAAUAGAAUAGGACGGCAUGGUUCUAUUUUGUUGGUUUCUAGGAUCACCGUAAUGAUUAAUAGGGAUAGUUGGGGGCAUUAGUAUUCAAUUGUCAGAGGUGAAAUUCUUGGAUUUAUUGAAGACUAACUACUGCGAAAGCAUUUGCCAAGGAUGUUUUCAUUAAUCAAGAAC